rnacentral:lncRNA from 1 species
CAAGCACAACUUGAUUGACCUCGUCGAGAAGGCUUUCCCUGCAAGCGAAUCGGAGGACACAAGAAAGAAAGUAUAAGCGCGCAAUCUAAUAUUGAAAAUAUGAAUGAAGUAAAGAAGGGUUCAAGCUCUCAAUUCGAAAGGACUAAUCAACACAGUCGAGGAGAACAAGAACAUGGGCCCUGGAUCACUAUAAAAGGACUUGUCACCACAGUUACAACGAAUCAAUCUCAGUUUCUCAAAGGAAAACUAGAACUAAACAAAACCUGAGUUUCUAAGGUGGCGGCUACUGAGUUUAUAUCAAAAGGGGUGAACUAGGGUUGGGGGCGACCAGGAAGGGGGUGCCCACAACUUGGGCUUAAGGUCCGACACGAUACAAAGCCAAGUUGGCCCAAAACUGGUGAUGCAGCAGCUUGUCGUGCUCACACAGAAUGAUCCACGAUCCUUCUAGAGCUAGGACCAGAACCAAAAGAACAGCAUCAUCAUCCCCAACGCAUCAAAGAACGCCUUGUUUCAAUGUUGUAUGAGGGAGAUAUGGCCAAAACCGUGCAAGAGUGUCGGCUGAAUCCGAGACAAACGCGAUGACCGAGUUGGUGAUGACUUGUAACUUGGGGAAGACCAUGACUCGUGUGUGUCCAGCAUGGCGAUGUCCUCAUCAUCCUCCCCUUCUUGAAUUGGAUUCAUCCUUGACUCC